CCAAUCUCACCCUGUCUCUCCGCUUUCUUCUCCCUCUCUGUCUGGAGACGAAUAGACCAUUUUAAAGAAAACCAUUGUUUUGGCUAACCUGAAGAAUGUGGUGACCGCUUAUUGUUCGUAGUCCCAGUCACUUCGCGCUGAUCAUUUCUGAGAUUUCGAGAUGAAAUUGCCUGGAGAAACGGCCCUAUUCUUUGUCAGAUUUAUCAAGAUCGUAUGUGGUCAGAGGGAAGAAAUUUUCAGAUAAUUCGAAAUCUAUAAUAACUCUUCUUUUUCCGGGUUCUGAACAUGCAUUUGUCAGAUAUUGAAGUUGUCUUGAUCAUUCUAUGACACCAAAGAUGAGGAUAUUGACUCAGGUUUAGUUUGUCUAUUAUGUGUGGAUUUACAUUGAUAUGAUGCAGCAGUGCUAUAACAUAUUUUUGACAAGAUGUUUGACUUGGUAAGUUUAAUACUUUUGUUAUUUUAUUGAUUUAAUGUCUCACCUAGGAGUGAACCGAGUGAUAACAAUGAAUCCUUUUGAUAAUCCAUUUAUUGAGCAGAUGAUUUGGAACUAGCUAAAACAUUGAAACCAAAUGACUUGGCUUCAACAGUAUGUGUUAAUUCAAAUACUUGCAUUUUGCUAUUCAUUUCUAAUGUAUGGGUGGGAGAAAAUGCCA